GAAGCUGGCUGGCUGAGAAUAAGAAAAUACAGUAUGUGAGCACUUGGAGGAGAAACUGUAGGUUGCAAUAGUGGAAGGGAGGAGGAUUUUGAGCAAAAGAAGAAACUUGUGUUGUUAGGAGCUGCAACCACGCUAUUCAUUGCCUGAGUAGCCAAGCAUGUUAAGGUUUCUGCUGGAAAGGAAGACAUCACUUUCUAGGAAUAUCUCUAUGAAAUGGCUCGCACAGACUGUGGACCAGGGAAGGAUGAUGCUACAGAUGCACGGUCUCUCCAAGGCACCAACUGAAUCCAGCAUCUGUGUAGAGAGAAGAGAUUCAGCCUCAAGAUGAGAUCCAGGAAUCUAGGAUGUACUCAGGGAGAUGAAGACUAUAGCCUACUCAUUCUGUCACUUUAUGCCCCCCUCUUUCUCCUCUCACUCUCUCAGUAUGGUGCAUUAUAGAACAACAAAGAGAGAAAAGGAAAUGAAGACCAUGAGCCUUGCAUAAUAAAUAUUAACUGAGAAGUACCUGGAUCUUAUGAGAAAUAUAUACCUUAUUUAAAAAAGCCAUGCUCUUCAAACUGGCCAGGAUUUAAGUGAUUUCCAGUGAGUACCUUACAAGAAUUCUUCUCAUGUGUGGAGGAGAAGUUCAACACCAUAAAUGGAUGUGGUACAGCGCCCCAGAGGGAAUUACAAUGAAAGUGAAAUCCAAAGAAUUCCAAGAGAACCACACCUGCAGAUCAUGCUCCAUUCAUUUGUGUACUUCCCCCUACUCAGUCUUUAAACCCACAGUGUAGCAAUUUCCAAAGGGAGCUCAAUGCAUAGAUCCCAGGCCCCUUCAUCUGAGCUCAUGGUUGUAUAAACCUCAGUGUCCAUAUCCUACUGAAACUCUGCCCAGAGGAAAGCAUGUGUUUUCUCAGAACUACUUAUUUUGCUCUUAGAUUAUUUUUAAAAUUUUACUCUUAGAUAUUUAUUGACCUUGAUAAUAUACUAAACUGUUUUUGUUUGUUUGUAUGUUUGUAUUUUAUUGUGGUUAUGUUCUCUUUAAGGUCCAUUACAGUGUUGGAAAACAGUGUAUUCUCUAAAUAAAAAAGAGAAAAAUUUAAAUUAAAAGA
ensembl:lincRNA Gm12371 predicted gene 12371